rnacentral:lncRNA from 10 species
ACAUAUCUCAACUUAUAAUACAAACACAUGCAGACAUACAGAGAGACAGAGACACACAGAGGGAGAGUAAAGUUUCACAGAACACACUUUUCUCCUUCUACAAUGAUUUAUUAUAUCUCUUCAUUUCCUAUGUUUUCUUGCUGAAUGUAUGACAUCCAUUUUAAUUUAUUAUUAUUUUUUUUUUUAGAGACAGAGUCUCACUCUUCACUCGGGCUGCAGUGCAGUGGAGCAAUAGUUGCUCACUGUAACCUCAAACUCCUGGGCCUAAGCAAUCCUCUGGCCUCAGCUUCCUGAAUGACUAGGACCACAGGUGAGAGCCACCUCAUCCAGGUAAUCUUUAAAUUAUUUUUCAUGUAAGGAUGGGAUUUUGCUAUGUUGCCCAAGCUGAUCGUGAAUUCUUGUCCUCAAGUGAUCCUCCACCCUAGCCUCCCAAAGCCUAAGGAUACAGACCUGAGCCAUCAAACCCAGAUCUUCAGACGGAAACUACCAAGAGUCAACUGAGGGAAGAUAGAACCUUGGCUGAAGAGGGAGAAAGCUGGAAAUCCUGCUCGGGGCUACCACACACCAAGACUCAUUCCUAACUCACGAUGGCUCCAGGGAAACCGGUGAGUUGGACUAGCAAGAAGCAACCUGCUCUUGCCACUGGCCUCAGGCAGAUGGGCAUGAGAAACCUCUUGACCACCACAGGGACACUCAAGUUGGCAA